rnacentral:lncRNA from 1 species
UGGGAGUCUUUGAACUAAUUAUGUUUAGUGGACUUCCUUCCUAGCUUGGUAGCCCCCAGACGUAGGUGUGUUUGCAACGAACUAGGUUAACAAUUGAUUGUGUCAUUUUUCAAUUGUUUCCUGGAUUUUAUUCUGUUCAUAUUUCACUUGUUGUUCAGAUAUUAGUGUCAUGACAUUACCUUCGACAUCUCAUAUCUGAUACCAGAAUUUCAUAGAUCAUGUUCUAAAAAGUUCCCAGAGUUUUA